rnacentral:rRNA from 1 species
CGCCUGGGGAGUACGGCCGCAAGGUUAAAACUCAAAUGAAUUGACGGGGACCCGCACAAGCGGUGGAGCAUGUGGUUUAAUUCGACGCAACGCGAAGAACCUUACCUGGCCUUGACAUGCAGAGAACUUUCCAGAGAUGGAUUGGUGCCUUCGGGAACUCUGACACAGGUGCUGCAUGGCCGUCGUCAGCUCGUGUCGUGAGAUGUUGGGUUAAGUCCCGUAACGAGCGCAACCCCUAUCCCUAGUUGCUAGCAGUUCGGCUGAGAACUCUAGGGAGACUGCCGGUGACAAACCGGAGGAAGGUGGGGAUGACGUCAGGUCAUCAUGGCCCUUACGGCCAGGGCUACACACGUGCUACAAUGGCGCGCACAGAGGGCUGCAAACCCGCGAGGGGGAGCCAAUCUCACAAAACGCGUCGUAGUCCGGAUCGCAGUCUGCAACUCGACUGCGUGAAGUCGGAAUCGCUAGUAAUCGUGAAUCAGAAUGUCACGGUGAAUACGUUCCCGGGCCUUGUACACACCGCCCGUCACACCAUGGGAGUGGAUUGCACCAGAAGUGGUUAGUCUAACCUUCGGGAGGACGAUCACCACGGUGUGGUUCAUGACUGGGGUGAAGUCGUAACAAGGUAACCGUA